rnacentral:rRNA from 1 species
AUUGAACGCUGGCGGCAUGCCUUACACACGCAAGUCGAACGGCAGCACGGGAGCAAUCCUGGUGGCGAGUGGCGGACGGGUGAGUAAAGUAUCGGAACGUGCCCAGUCGUGGGGGAUAACGUAGCGAAAGUUACGCUAAUACCGCAUACGAUCUAUGGAUGAAAGCGGGGGAUCGCAAGACCUCGCGCGAUUGGAGCGGCCGAUAUCAGAUUAGGUAGUUGGUGGGGUAAAGGCUCACCAAGCCGACGAUCUGUAGCUGGUCUGAGAGGACGACCAGCCACACUGGGGCUGAGACACGGCCCAGACUCCUACGGGAGGCAGCAGUGGGGAAUUUUGGACAAUGGGCGAAAGCCUGAUCCAGCCAUGCCGCGUGAAGGAUGAAGGCCUUCGGGUUGUAAACUGCUUUUGUACGGAACGAAACGGUUUGACUUAAUACGUUGGACUCAUGACGGUACCGUAAGAAUAAGCACCGGCUAACUACGUGCCAGCAGCCGCAGUAA